rnacentral:rRNA from 1 species
UACGUAGGGUCCGAGCGUUGUCCGGAAUUAUUGGGCGUAAAGGGCUCGUAGGCGGUCUGUUGCGUCGGGAGUGAAAACUUACAGCUUAACUGUGAGCGUGCUUCCGAUACGGGCAGACUUGAGGUAUUCAGGGGAGAACGGAAUUCCUGGUGUAGCGGUGAAAUGCGCAGAUAUCAGGAGGAACACCGAUGGCGAAGGCAGGUCACUGGGCCGCAACUGACGCUGAGGAGCGAAAGCAUGGGGAGCGAACAGG